GCCUUCGUAGUGUAGGGGUCGGCACGCUCGACACGUAUUCGAGAGGCCUAUGGUUCGAGUCCUGGCGAGGGCA
rnacentral:tRNA from 1 species